GUAGGUGGCAAGCGUUGUCCGGAAUUAUUGGGCGUAAAGCGCGCGCAGGUGGUUCUUUAAGUCUGAUGUGAAAGCCCCCGGGCUCAACCGGGGAGGGUCAUUGGAAACUGGGGAAUUUGAGUGCAGGAGAGGAAAGUGGAAUUCCACGUGUAGCGGUGAAAUGCGUAGAUAUGUGGAGGAACACCAGUGGCGAAGGCGACUUUCUGGCCUGUAACUGACACUGAGGCGCGAAAGCGUGGGGAGCAAACAGGAUUAGAUACCCUGGUAGUCCACGCCGUAAACGAUGAGUGCUAAGUGUUGGGGGGUUUCCGCCCCUCAGUGCUGCAGCUAACGCAUUAAGCACUCCGCCUGGGGAGUACGGUCGCAAAGACUG
rnacentral:rRNA from 1 species